rnacentral:lncRNA from 1 species
AAACUCUGGACAAAUAUCGAUUGCAUCUGCCAAAGUAAAAUUACCAAAUACCUACUCCAAACUUGGGAGUCCAUUAAGCUUAUCCAAAUUUUCUAUACCAGAUUUAAAUUACUCAUUUGAUAUGGUAGAAGAAUUACAACAAUUUUUUAUGAAACAACGUAGAUGUGACUAUUUCAGUCUUUUAAAUAAUUUUAUUAAUUUAACUAUUUUAGUUUCGAAUCUAUUGUCAGCAGAACCGGAUUUAGACAUAAGAAAUAAUCUAUUGAAACGGUUUAUUCAUUCAUUAAAUAGUUGGAUGAUUAUGCGUAGAUGUACAGUGGCAUCAUGUGAAAACAUUUUUUCUAUGACAGGUUUAUAUAUUCCACUAGAAUGUCUUUCAGCACAUCACAACCAAUUGAAUGAACAAGAAACUUAUACAAAUUAUAAUAAUUUACAAAUACUUUAUUUUAACUAUGAAGAAUGUAAAAUAUUUUUUUCAAAAAAAAGAGCUCCAUACUUAUUAAUGUUUGAAGUUGCUGAUUUGGAUGAAGAUAUAAGUUUUAUGUCUGAUACAUUUUUUUANNNNNNNNNNCUUCCACCUUGUUACAUUUUAAACUCUGGACAAAUAUCGAUUGCAUCUGCCAAAGUAAAAUUACCAAAUACCUACUCCAAACUUGGGAGUCCAUUAAGCUUAUCCAAAUUUUCUAUACCAGAUUUAAAUUACUCAUUUGAUAUGGUAGAAGAAUUACAACAAUUUUUUAUGAAACAACGUAGAUGUGACUAUUUCAGUCUUUUAAAUAAUUUUAUUAAUUUAACUAUUUUAGUUUCGAAUCUAUUGUCAGCAGAACCGGAUUUAGACAUAAGAAAUAAUCUAUUGAAACGGUUUAUUCAUUCAUUAAAUAGUUGGAUGAUUAUGCGUAGAUGUACAGUGGCAUCAUGUGAAAACAUUUUUUCUAUGACAGGUUUAUAUAUUCCACUAGAAUGUCUUUCAGCACAUCACAACCAAUUGAAUGAACAAGAAACUUAUACAAAUUAUAAUAAUUUACAAAUACUUUAUUUUAACUAUGAAGAAUGUAAAAUAUUUUUUUCAAAAAAAAGAGCUCCAUACUUAUUAAUGUUUGAAGUUGCUGAUUUGGAU